rnacentral:rRNA from 1 species
CCUACGGGGGGCAGCAGUGAGGAAUAUUGGUCAAUGGACGAGAGUCUGAACCAGCCAAGUAGCGUGAAGGAUGACUGCCCUAUGGGUUGUAAACUUCUUUUAUAUGGGAAUAAAAUGUUCCACGUGUGGGCUUUUGUAUGUACCAUAUGAAUAAGGAUCGGCUAACUCCGUGCCAGCAGCCGCGGUAAUACGGAGGAUCCGAGCGUUAUCCGGAUUUAUUGGGUUUAAAGGGAGCGUAGGUGGAUUGUUAAGUCAGUUGUGAAAGUUUGCGGCUCAACCGUAAAAUUGCAGUUGAAACUGGCAGUCUUGAGUACCGGAGAGGUCAUCGGAAUUCCUUGUGUAGCGGUGAAAUGCGUAGAUAUAAGGAAGAACACCAGUGGCGAAGGCGGAUGACUGGACGGCAACUGACGGUGAGGCGCGAAAGCGUGGGGAGCAAACAGGAUUAGAUACCCUUGUAGUC